rnacentral:rRNA from 1 species
GACGAACGCUGGCGGCGUGCUUAACACAUGCAAGUCGAACGGAAAGGCCCUGCUUUUGUGGGUGCUCGAGUGGCGAACGGGGGAGUAACACGUGAGUAACCUGCCCUUGACUUUGGGAUAACUUCAGGAAACUGGGGCUAAUACCGGAUAGGAGCUCCUGCUGCAUGGUGGGGGUUGGAAAGUUUCGGCGGUUGGGGAUGGACUCGCGGCUUAUCAGCUUGUUGGUGGGGUAGUGGCUUACCAAGGCUUUGACGGGUAGCCGGCCUGAGAGGGGGACCGGCCACAUUGGGACUGAGAUACGGCCCAGACUCCUACGGGAGGCAGCAGUGGGGAAUAUUGCACAAUGGGCGGAAGCCUGAUGCAGCAACGCCGCGUGCGGGAUGACGGCCUUCGGGUUGUAAACCGCUUUCGCCUGUGACGAAGCGUGAGUGACGGUAAUGGGUAAAGAAGCACCGGCUAACUACGU